rnacentral:rRNA from 1 species
UACAGAGGGGGCAAGCGUUAUUCGGAAUUAUUGGGCGUAAAGCGCGCGCAGGCAGCUCUUUAAGUCUGGUGUUUAAUCCCGAGGCUCAACUUCGGGUCGCACUGGAAACUGGGGAGCUUGAGUGCAGAAGAGGAGAGUGGAAUUCCACGUGUAGCGGUGAAAUGCGUAGAGAUGUGGAGGAACACCAGUGGCGAAGGCGACUCUCUGGGCUGUAACUGACGCUGAGGCGCGAAAGCGUGGGGAGCAAACGGG